ensembl:lncRNA
CUGAUAUGUCUUUUCCCCAGUUUUCAACUACAUUUCCCAUAAUCCUUUCAAACUACACUUCCUAUGAUAACCGGAAGCCUCCGCACAAUGGGAAACAUGAAGCGAUGUGUUGCAAAGAAGAAAUGCUUUGCUCCAGCAGCAGUAGACAAGCCUUUUGUGGAACAGGCAACUGGUGUAAGGAGUCUGUCCCAGAUCCAGACUUUGCAGGACGGGGAUCAGGAACUGUCCGCUUUGAAAUGUUGCUGAUAUUUCAGAGCAUUUGUCACUGAUAUCCAGUAUAAAUCACCAAGCCCUAAAACAGACCAAUCACAAACUCACACAGUCCAUGUUUCCAACCCAAACAAAGACCAACACAUAUGCACAGAACCAAGCCCUGUGUCUGCCACUGUCAACCAACCUCAGUCUCAAGAAAAAAAAGUGUUAUACCUAUGAAAGUGACAUUAAGCCAGUCCAUUGGCACACUAAGUGCAGCUUCGGCCCAAGGCUAUGUGGGUCUGUUACUGUAAGUGGAAGGAUAGAGGAAAUUUCAGAUGAAGAGAUAAAGAACAAUCCAGAGACUGAAGAGGGUGUACGGAAUAUUCCACGAUUUAAGAACUACCAGAGAGGAGUGCCAUCUAAUGUAAAUGUCACCAUUUCUCCAUUACUGAAUACAAGAUGUCAAAACCACUUGGUAGACAUCAUGUCCUGAGUCAUGAUUGUACAGUAUGUCUAAAAAAAUACUAAACCAUUUAUUAUUCUAAAAGACAUUCCAGGAUGAUUCUACAAUCGCCAGCAGCAGCACAGCAAGACUGUAAACUAGUUCUGCUGUUUGCUUGUCUGUACUUGUCUGCAUUAAUGAAAGACAGUAAAUCCAUGACACUAUCAUGAUUUGCAAAUACAAUUUAAGUGAUACGUUUUAAUUUAAUUUUUGGCACUUCAUUGCACUCCUGUGUUCAAGAUGUACAGUAAACAAUCAGCUGAAAAUUAACAUGUCUGGUGUUUGCUUGUUUACCUCUGCUUUCCUGAAAUAUAUACAAGGUUGUGCUCAAAGUCAAUGAACCCUACAUGUACAGGACUCACCAAUUACAUUUCAGUGUGAUAUCUUUCCAAAAUAGUUACACAUUAAAAUUAAGUUAAAAUCAAUACAGUUGAGUUUCAGCUGGAGUGCUUCAAGUGCUUACACACAGCAUAUUGCUUUGAAUGUGGUUGCCAGCACAGACAUUUUGGGAUUCUUAGUGAAACAAAAAAUUACCCAUUUGUUGUGUGUCUUUGUGUGUCUUUCACUAGAACAACAAUUGCUUGAGUAGGAGUAGCAGGAGCCACCAUUCAAUCAUGACAUCAGCCCAACCUAAUGAUAUGCAAAUUUAUAUGAGACUCAUUAAAUCAAUAAAAAGCAUUCUAUUCUUUUCUUUAUUCUUAGU